rnacentral:rRNA from 1 species
AUUGAACGCUGGCGGUAUGCCUUACACAUGCAAGUCGAACGGUAGAGGGGCAACCCUUGAGAGUGGCGAACGGGUGAGUAAUACAUCGGAACGUGCCCAGUCGUGGGGGAUAACGUAGCGAAAGCUACGCUAAUACCGCAUACGACCCGAGGGUGAAAGCGGGGGACUCGCAAGAGCCUCGCGCGAUUGGAGCGGCCGAUGGCAGAUUAGGUAGUUGGUGGGGUAAAGGCCCACCAAGCCUGCGAUCUGUAGCUGGUCUGAGAGGACGACCAGCCACACUGGGACUGAGACACGGCCCAGACUCCUACGGGAGGCAGCAGUGGGGAAUUUUGGACAAUGGGCGAAAGCCUGAUCCAGCCAUACCGCGUGCGGGAAGAAGGCCUUCGGGUUGUAAACCGCUUUUGUCAGGGAAGAAAUCUUCUGGGUUAAUACCUCGGGAGGAUGACGGUACCUGAAGAAUAAGCACCGGCUAACUACGUGCCAGCCGCCGCGGUAAUAC